rnacentral:ncRNA from 1 species
AAUUAAUUAAAAACUCUGGGGACCGAGUCAGACAGGUCGAGAUCAGAUACGUGUUGGUUCAGAUGGGAGCUGGUUGCUUUGCUGCUUUGUGUGCUUCGGUGCGCGUUGUGGUGAGGUUACUGGACUGUGACCCGGGUCGAUCGUAGGCGGUUUCAGUUGUUAGCGUCUUGCAGCUAGCAACGCGCGAAGACUUGAUCCACGUUGUGUCAAUCGGCUGUACUUCCAUGGUCUGGCGCGCGAUGGCUAAUUCAGAACUGGCACGGACCAAAGCAAUCCGACUGUCUAGUUAAAACAAAGCAUUGCGAUGUCCACUGAUUGAUUUCGACGCAGUGUGAUUUCUCCCCAGUGCUCUGAAUGUCAAAAUGAAGAAAUUCAACCAAGCGCGGGUAAACGGCGGGAGUAACUAUGACUCUCUUAAGGUAAUAUAGUGAAAUACAAAUACUUUCAUGGUAAUAUUCAUAGAGGUCAAGAAAUACGUCUAAGAUGUAACCAACCUUGUAAUAAUGACGUAUUCGAUUUAUCGGUAUAUAUAUAUAUAUAUAUA